rnacentral:rRNA from 1 species
CACGUAGGCACCAAGCGUUGUCCGGAAUUAUUGGGCGUAAAGAGCUCGUAGGCGGUUUGUCGCGUCGGCCGUGAAAACUUGGGGCUUAACUCCAAGCUUGCGGUCGAUACGGGCAGACUUGAGUUCGGCAGGGGAGACUGGAAUUCCUGGUGUAGCGGUGAAAUGCGCAGAUAUCAGGAGGAACACCGGUGGCGAAGGCGGGUCUCUGGGCCGAUACUGACGCUGAGGAGCGAAAGCGUGGGGAGCGAACAGG